rnacentral:rRNA from 1 species
UACGAAGGGGGCUAGCGUUGCUCGGAAUCACUGGGCGUAAAGCGCACGUAGGCGGAUCUUUAAGUCAGGGGUGAAAUCCUGGAGCUCAACUCCAGAACUGCCUUUGAUACUGGGGAUCUCGAGUCCGGGAGAGGUGAGUGGAACUCCGAGUGUAGAGGUGAAAUUCGUAGAUAUUCGGAAGAACACCGGUGGCGAAGGCGGCUCACUGGCCCGGUACUGACGCUGAGGUGCGAAAGCGUGGGGAGCAAACAGG